GCAAAUGUAUAAUCAACAAUAGUUCUUGAAUGUUUAAAAAUGUGUUAUAAAUAUUCCCAUACUCUCAUAAUUAUCAUUACACAACUUGCUUAUUUUCACUGCACAUUAUUUCAUAAUUUUAAACAUUUGAUUCAUGCAGCUCUAGUUCAUUAAUUUCACCUGCUGAUUAGAGUUGUACUUCAUGAACGUUUCAUAAUAUUUAUGAAUUCUUUAGUUGAGAACCUUUUUGUGGAUUCUUUAUUAUUUCAAAUAACACUAAAACGAACAUUCUUUCAGAUGCAUCCCUGGGUGCUUAAGCAAGAGGUUCCAUGGUCUAUAUAUCCAGAUGGUGAGGUUUGUCCAGCUUUUGCUUUACCAGGUCUGAGAUGGGAAUAAAAUAUCUGCAUUUCAGAGCAAUUGGAGAAGAGUGCCUGGAACAGUCAUUGGUGGGGUUGCUCAGUUUUACCAGAAAAAUUAAAUGAUGCAUUUAAAAAUUUUGUUUUUACUGUUAUCCUUUAUUCCCAUUCUCCCACUUGCUCCCCAAAGUGGAUUUCUGAUGGAUAGGGAAAGAAGAGUAGCUUCUGUUUGCAUAAUGUGCUAGUUUUAGUUCAACAUUGAUAUAAGCUGGAUCUUGACACAGAACAUCCUGGUUUCAAUGUCAUUUUUUCAUGGAUAUUUAUGAAUUCUCAUUGAAGUUGUUGUCUUCAAUUUUCUCAAGCCUAAAAUAGAGAGUAUCAAUCUUAGCUUGCCUGGCUCUUAAAUUGCUCAACUGAGGAAGUAUAUAUAUAUAAAAUGUUUGACACAGUAUAAGUGUUCAAUGGAUAUUUGUUAAAAAAUAGUUAGCUGUCAGACAAAGUUAAUAUCUGUGUUUCUCAUUGCUUCAUUACUCUAAAUUUUUGUGUAAUUUGCAGAGUGCUGACCUGUAGUAAACAAACAGAGUUCAAUAUAAUGGAAACGUUAUUAAACUUGUGCUUGAGUUGUUCUAGCCUUUAGAGAUUCUUCUGCCAUUGUUACCAAUGUUUCUCCAGGCAAAUCCCUCAAUUCCUAAUUCUUAAUUUUCUCAUCUGUUGAUCAAGGAAAUUAUAUUUGUUUCUAUGAUCUCACAUAAAGCAAAGAUUUUACACUCAUAUUUUUAAAGUAUAUAUUCUGUAUAACUCCAGAACUGACAAAGGCAGCCAAUAUUUAAUAUAUUAUGACAAUAGAAAACAAAGAAAAUAUAGUAAUAAAUGUACCAAAAUAAAACUUAUACA
rnacentral:lncRNA from 13 species